rnacentral:lncRNA from 1 species
GUUUAACCCUGAUCUGCAAUGAAGGCAACCCACAAGACCCAAUCUUCUUGUAGGGAUGCAAGAAGUGGCCAAGUUCAGACAUUUGCUCUCUGCAGAACACAAUGUUCACUGGCCACACACAUCUAAUGAGUGAAGAGUGACUUUCAGCAUUCUGCUAGUAAAAUGGGACAAGUUUCAGGCAUGGAUAGUAGGAAAGUGUCUUCACUUCAGUGUUUUGCUCAGUCUGUUAGAAUGUGGGAAUUUGCCCUAGGACAUCCCGUUGGACAAAGUGUGGAUACUGUUAUGUCACAAGCAAGAAGCUUCCAGAGAAAGCUUUGGUCUAUAGCCUUAGAUUGUCAAAGAUGUUUUGAAGGGUAGCACCAGAAGCUGGCAUCUGGAGUGUAGAAACUUAAAUGCCUUUGAUGCUGUUCUGUCACUUCUGUGGUGACAAGCCCAGAGCUGUAGAUGUUUUAUUGCAAAAUGCUUCCUUAGAGGAAUGUGUUAAAGGACUGCAUAAUCUGGGGGGCAAUAGAAAGAAAAUAAAACAUAGGUUGGAUGCAAAUCCCAAGGCACCAUGUUGAGCUCUGGCAAGUAGAUUCAGCCCAACCUGUGUGCAGGUACUUCCCAGCCAAGAGAAAUCACCUUUCAAGGACGAGGCUCAUCACUCCCUCGCAUGCAGAGAAGCUGCCAGCAGGAGGAACCUGUUUUCAUUUGUGUGUUUUCGUGAGAUUGUGGCAUGAGGUUAACUCAUGUAGGAUUUACCAGAUGUCUCUUUGUGGAGUGGGCUGCUUUGAGAGCAGAAGCGUUCUUCAGUCUAUACGUAAAUGCAUGCAUGAGUCAUACACCUGCAUAUGCUCCUUUUUUCCAAGGACGCUGUGCCCUGUGGAGGUGGGGGUGCUCCUUUCUUACCUGGAGAAUUUCACAUCAUAGCAGACUAUCAGAAGAACGGAGAAGAGGGAAUGCUUCAACUUUGCUUUAAAGCUGCCUACCUCUUAGUCUGUCUGGUGGGUCAGAUAAGACCUGUCUAAUCUUGCAUUAAAAAAAAAAAGUUUUACCAGUGCAUGACUUUUUUUUUCUCUUUUUAGUUUCCUGUGACAUUUACUAAAAGAAGGUAUUGCACUCUUUAAGUGCUUGCAAAAAAGGAGAAAAAAAAAACCAAAAAACAAUUCUCUGGCUUAUUUCCUGUCAAAGGAGAAUAGAUGGGAUGAAGGGAGAACUGUCUGAACCAAGACAGAGGCUUCCUUUCUCAUUGCAAUGGGGGCAGUUCAGCUGGCCAUGCUCAUGACAGUCAGCUCUUCUCAGCAUCAGAGAAGACCGGAGAACUGGAGGAGAUGUCCCCCAUGAACUGUGCAGAGUACCCAGUGCUGAAAAUAGCACGUGUAGGGACAGUGGCCUUUGCAGGUUGUCUUGGGAACUGAGGGCAGCAGUGAGGAGUGGGGUCCAUCCCUCCCAGCUGAGUGCUGAGCAAAGACUGAAGUUCAUGGUGACAGAUGCUUUGGAUCUGAUAUUUCUCACUGCCGUCGAGUUCUCUGAUUGAUUUGCCUAGCUUGCCAUGAUGAAAUCAUUAAUCUUGACACUUGCUGCAGCCCAAACUUUGGCACACCGGAGUCCUUUUUUUCUGCACCUGCCAACAGGCAGGUCGGACAGCAGGAUUUUCACGCUCCAAGAAAGCUAUGGACAGGAUUUCUAAGAAAGGAUUGACAGAAGGCCACUAAAGAGAACAGAUCAGGAGAUGUCCUGCCUUAGGAGGGACUGGAGAGAAUAAACUUGUUUCUUGGAGUGAAAGGAAAACA